AUUGUUGUAUUCACAAUUCCCAAUAGUUACAUUGUACUCUAUAAUAUUAUUCUUUAGCUUGGUUAAUAAAUUAUAACAUACAUAUAUCACUUACAUUGUCAGUAAGGUGAUUGACAGUAAUGGUAUAUAGAUCUCAUUAAGCUGAGGUUCUCUUUUCUGUUUUUGUUGAUUUCAAAUUACAUUUGAAAUCUUUCUGAGUAUUGAAUAUUUCUUGUAGAAAAUUGUAGAAUGAUUUAAUGAAUAUGAGAAAUUUUGGAAUUCCUUAAUAGAUGUGGUAUUAGCUUACUUUAUCAAUUGUAUUUAUUUAGGCUUUCCUUAUUACAUGUUGUUGUAGCUGAUGUUUAUUGUGUGAAUCUAUUAGGUGACGUAAUAUUUACAAACGUGUGUGAUUGGAUUUUGAAAUGGUAUUUUAUCCUUUAUCGGAUAUUCUCUCUGUAUUAUCAUAGAGUGGUUCUGAUAGUCAAUUUGAAAAUAUUAGUUAUACACUUUUUCAUUGAAAAAAGCAGUGUCGAAAAAAUGCAGUAGAAUUUUUAAAAAUAAGUAAAAUAUAGUAUAUAUAAGUAUAAAUAAGUGUAUUAUUCCAAGAGGAAACAGCAGAAUUUAAAAAAAUUUAUUAUUUCAAAAGGAAACAGCAGAAACAAGUGAUGCGUACUGUUUAUAGUAAUAUGUAAUUAAGUUUGGUGGGUGUACAAGAAGAGAAGUUACCAAUUCGAGAAACUUAUGAGAAUGGAGACUUGGUUGGAACGCAGUUCAUUAUUAUGAAACCCUAGCAUUAUUGAUACAUGCAUGGCCACAAGAGAAAUAGGGUACAAAAGUUGCCCGAGAAGAAUUGGGGUCGAGUAAUGAUGAGGUAACCGAAUGGAAAAAUUAUUUUAGGGAAUUGUUGCAAGAACCCAAAAAAACCAUAUAAAUUGAUGAGUCCUGUUUAUUCACAAACGAUAUACAAUUGAGGACGCAUCACUAGGUGUUUGUGGGAAUUUGUCAAGAGGAUGGGAAAUGUUUUUGUUUGCCAUGCCUUUCAGGAGAAAAAAAGUGUGGCUUUAUAUUAUUGGCCAGUACUUAGAACCCGGAACUACUAUUAUGUCUGAUGUGUGGAAUUCCAAUACCAAAACUACAAAAGUAGAAGAUGAAUUUUAUACACUUCACUGUUAAUAUGGAAACUGGAACACAUACAUAAAGAGCAAAGAUAAGAAAGGGAACAGGAAAAGGCCUCUAACUUCAACUGAAUGCAGGUUGAAGUAGUAACUUGAAACUGAUUUGCCAACUAAGAUGUUAAAAUGCAAAUAGUAGAAAACAAGAUUAAUCGCAAUGAGUAUUUGCUCUUUGGAUGGAUCGAUAUGACUUGAUAAUCUUACUAAUCUCCUUUUAUUCAAUAUGUAGUAAGAAAGCUGCAAAUAAUUAUUUGUAUAGCUUCAGUACAAAUGGUGAGUGUAAUACAUUUUAUUAUUUUCUCCAAGUAUUCUUCGAUUUUUUGGGGAGUAUUUUCAUGAAAAUUUGGAAUGUCCAGAAACUUUUCUGUCAAUUGCUAAUAACAGAUAUUAGAUGUUAUUUUACCUUUGCCUUAAUCCAAAACUCUAUUUUAAGCAACUAAAGUUCUUAUCUAAGAUGAAAUUGUCGAGUCGGUUUUUUAAGUAUGGCACAAAAAACAAAUUAGUUGAAUUUUACCAUAAAUUUGUAAACUAGAAAAUAUUUUCAAAAAUUGGUUCUGUUAUUAUAUUCAAAUUCAUGUUAUGACCCAUUUUUGGGAAACAUCAAUUCAAGUUUUUGACCAUUCUAAUACAUAUUUUACAAAAUAUAUAGGUCAUCAAAAUUACAUAAAUGUAAUAUACUUCUUUAUACAAGAAUGUAUUGAGCAUUCACCUUUCUAUCUAAUUAUUAUAAUAAAUAUUAGCUGACCCGUCAAAAGUUGUUUUGCCAUAAAUAUUAUUUCUUUGAAAUAUUUUCUUAGGCAUUAUUUUGGUGUGAGCGACCCUUAACAUAUAGAGAUAUGAAAAAUAGAUGUUGGCCGAUUCUUGGACUUACACUAUAUUCACAUAAAAAAUCACGAAAAUCGGUCCAGUUAAUUCGGAGGAGUUUGGCAACAAAUAUCACACGAGAAUUUUAUGUAUUAGAUUAUACAAUCUUUAUGAAUAUACCUUUAUUGGAUUCGAUGUCA